GACGAACGCUGGCGGCGUGCCUAAUACAUGCAAGUCGAACGAGAGCGACCGGUGCUUGCACUGGUCAAUCUAGUGGCGAACGGGUGAGUAACACGUGGGUAACCUGCCCAUCAGAGGGGGAUAACAUCCGGAAACGGAUGCUAAAACCGCAUAGGUCUUCGAGCCGCAUGGCUUGAAGAGGAAAAGAGGCGCAAGCUUCUGCUGAUGGAUGGACCCGCGGUGCAUUAGCUAGUUGGUGAGGUAACGGCUCACCAAGGCCGUGAUGCAUAGCCGACCUGAGAGGGUGAUCGGCCACAUUGGGACUGAGACACGGCCCAAACUCCUACGGGAGGCAGCAGUAGGGAAUCUUCCGCAAUGGACGCAAGUCUGACGGAGCAACGCCGCGUGAGUGAAGAAGGUUUUCGGAUCGUAAAACCCUGUUGUUAGAGAAGAACAAGUGCUAGAGUAACUGUUAGCGCCUUGACGGUAUCUAACCAGAAAGCCACGGCUAACUACGUG
rnacentral:rRNA from 1 species